GACGAGCCUCACGAACGUUAUUCGGAAUUACUGGGCGUAAAGGGCUCGUAGGCGGCCAACUAAGUCAGACGUGAAAUCCCUCGGCUUAACCGGGGAACUGCGUCUGAUACUGGAUGGCUUGAGUUUGGGAGAGGGAUGCGGAAUUCCAGGUGUAGCGGUGAAAUGCGUAGAUAUCUGGAGGAACACCGGUGGCGAAGGCGGCAUCCUGGACCAACACUGACGCUGAGUGAGCGAAAGCCAGGGGAGCAAACGGG
rnacentral:rRNA from 1 species